GCACCAAUCACCCCGGCUCCAGUGACGGCUGCUAUCCUCGGACUCCAGCCUCGCCUGCAUGUGGUGCCUGAGACCUGGGCAAGCUGCAGCCACUCUGCCCCUGCAUGGGAGGGUGUGUGGGAGCCGAGGAAGGUGCUGAACGGUGAGUGGACCAGAUGGAUUGCUCCAUGCUCCGUAUCCCUCGUCUGUUCUGCCACCACGACCCUCGGCGAUGCCUUAGGCCUCUCCUCAGAGAGGUACGGAAGUGACACGUGCAGGGGGUGAACAGUUCAGGUCAAACAGCUCGCCGACUACAGAGCUGGGCACACCCACGCUCCUCCCUGAACUCCCCCAUCCUGCCAGCGGACCAGAACUCAGGCCGUACUUGGAUGUCUCUGCAGCCCUGAGCUGCGCCCUGGGGGAUCCCAGGGCUUGCGUCUGUGCUGGGAGGAGAACGCUGCCCGUAACUGGAGAGCAAUCCACCUGCACUGCCUUUUCCUAACUGCUGGUUUGGGACGUCCUUGGCCCAGAACAUACACAGAAAUGAGAGCAAGAAAAGGAAAGUAGAAAAACGUGUUCCUGUCAUCUCCACUCUGCUGCAGGACGUCUGUCCCCUCCCUCUCUUCUUGCCUCCCUCCAAAUAUCAGCCUCCAGCUCCUCCAUCUUCACUCCUCUCUCCAGACCUUGGCUUCGGGAGUCUGAGUGCUCGCUUCUCUGUUUCCUGCGCAUCACGCCCCCAUCGUGAGUAGCUGUUUG
rnacentral:lncRNA from 1 species